GACAGAGGUGCCGAGCGUUAGGCGGAAUCACUGGGCUUAAAGCGUGUGUAGGCGGAUCUGUAAGUACCUUGUGAAAUCCCACGGCUCAACCGUGGAACUGCUGGGUAUACUGGGCGUCUUGAGCCACCUAGGGGCCAGCGGAACAAAUGGUGGAGCGGUGAAAUGCGUAGAUAUCAUUUGGAACGCCAACGGUGAAAACAGCUGGCUGGGGGUGUGCUGACGCUGAGACACGAAAGCCAGGGGAGCGAACGGG
rnacentral:rRNA from 1 species